CCUANGGGGGGCAGCACUCGGGAAUUUUCCACAAUGGACGAAAGUCUGAUGGAGCGACGCCGCGUGAAGGAUGAAGGUUUUCGGAUCGUAAACUUCUUUUGCCAAGGAAUAGGAAGGAAGGUACUUGGCGAAUAAGGGGCUGCUAACUGCGUGCCAGAAGCAUCGGUGAUACGUGGGCCCCAAGCGUUGUCCGGAUUUAUUGGGCGUAAAGCGAACGUAGGCGGUUAAGAGGAUCUUGUUUCAAAGACCCCAGCUCACCUGGGGAAAGGGACGGGAUAUCGCUUGACUUGAAUUGAGGAGGGGAGAUCGGAACGCGUGGUGGAGCGGUGAAAUGUGUUGAUAUUACGCGGAACGCCGGUGACGAAGGUUGAUCUCUGGUCUCAUAUUGACGCUCAUGUUCGAAAGCUAGGGGAGCGAAACGGAUUAGAUACCCUUNUANUC
rnacentral:rRNA from 1 species